AUUGAACGCUGGCGGCAGGCCUAACACAUGCAAGUCGAGCGGAUGAAGGGAGCUUGCUCCUGGAUUCAGCGGCGGACGGGUGAGUAAUGCCUAGGAAUCUGCCUGGUAGUGGGGGAUAACGUCCGGAAACGGGCGCUAAUACCGCAUACGUCCUGAGGGAGAAAGUGGGGGAUCUUCGGACCUCACGCUAUCAGAUGAGCCUAGGUCGGAUUAGCUAGUUGGUGGGGUAAAGGCCUACCAAGGCGACGAUCCGUAACUGGUCUGAGAGGAUGAUCAGUCACACUGGAACUGAGACACGGUCCAGACUCCUACGGGAGGCAGCAGUGGGGAAUAUUGGACAAUGGGCGAAAGCCUGAUCCAGCCAUGCCGCGUGUGUGAAGAGGGUCUUCGGAUUGUAAAGCACUUUAAGUUGGGAGGAAGGGCAGUAAGUUAAUACCUUGCUGUUUUGACGUUACCAACAGAAUAAGCACCGGCUAACUUCAUG
rnacentral:rRNA from 1 species